CAGCUUGUCACACAGCUAGUCACACUCCCUCUCUCUCCGUUCACACACAGACCUAGCAAUCUUUUACCUAUACUUUUGUCCCUCACCUGCUCUCACUCUACCUGUGUGGGAUUCUCUACAGUUUGGGAGACCGUCUGUCCCUCACCUGCUCUCACUCUACCUGUGUGGGAUUCUCUACAGUUUGGAAGACCGUCUGUCCCUCACCUGCUCUCACUCUACCUGUGUGGGAUUCUCUACAGUUUGGGAGACCGUCUGUCCCUCACCUGCUCUCACUCUACCUGUGUGGGAUUCUCUACAGUUUGGGAGACUGUGGAUACAGUAUCCAGUGAAAGGAGCCAGCAGAGGAAUCACAGGAACCAGAUUUGGAGCCAGUGGAGGAAUCACAGGAACCAGAUUGGGAGCCAGCAGAGGAAUCAUAGGAACCAGAUUGGAGCCAGUGGAGGAAUCAUAGGAACCAGAUUUGGAGCCAGUGGAGGAAUCAUAGGAACCAGAUUUGGAGCCAGUGGAGGAAUCACAGGAACCAGAUUGGGAGCCAGCAGAGGAAUCAUAGGAACCAGAUUGGGAGCCAGUGGAGGAAUCAUAGGAACCAGAUUGGGAGCCAGCAGAGGAAUCAUAGGAACCAGAUUGGGAGCCAGCAGAGGAAUCACAGGAACCAGAUUGGGAGCCAGCAGAGGAAUCACAGGAACCAGAUUGGGAGCCAGCAGAGGAAUCACAGGAACCAGAUAACAAACGAGCCGACUAUGUCAAAAGAGGGGGACAGAGCAUCAGUGUUGAAGACCUCUAAGGUUCGGACCAAGCUGAAGGGAGAUGCCAGCUGGAUGCAGAGACUCAGUGAACC